UACGGGGGGAGCAAGCGUUGUUCGGAUUUACUGGGCGUAAAGGGCGCGUAGGCGGUCAGCACAAGUCAGUUGUGAAAUCUCCGGGCUUAACUCGGAAAGGUCAACUGAUACUGUGCGACUAGAGUGCAGAAGGGGCAACUGGAAUUCUCGGUGUAGCGGUGAAAUGCGUAGAUAUCAAGAGGAACACCUGCGGCGAAGGCGGGUUGCUGGGCUGACACUGACGCUGAGGCACGAAAGCGUGGGUAGCAAACAGG
rnacentral:rRNA from 1 species